AGGUGGAGACUGACACCUGGCUAACUGUGUGGUGUGUGUUAGGUGGAGACUGUUACCUGGCUAACUGUGUGGUGUGUGUUAGGUGGAGACUGACACCUGGCUAACUGUGUGGUGUGUAUUAGGUGGAGACUGACACCUGGCUAACUGUGUGGUGUGUAUUAGGUGGAGACUGACACCUGGCUAACUGUGUGGUGUGUGUUAGGUGGAGACUGACACCUGGCUAACUGUGUGGUGUGUGUUAGGUGGAGACUGACAAGGCCACAGUGGGGUUUGAGCUGUUGGA